rnacentral:rRNA from 1 species
UCAGGCCUAACACAUGCAAGUCGAACGAACCCUUCGGGGUUAGUGGCGCACGGGUGCGUAACGCGUGGGAAUCUGCCCUUUGCUUCGGAAUAACAGUUAGAAAUGACUGCUAAUACCGGAUGAUGUCUUCGGACCAAGGAUUUAUCGGCAAGGGAUGAGCCCGCGUAGGAUUAGGUAGUUGGUGGGGUAAAGGCCUACCAAGCCGACGAUCCUUAGCUGGUCUGAGAGGAUGAUCAGCCACACUGGGACUGAGACACGGCCCAGACUCCUACGGGAGGCAGCAGUGGGGAA